rnacentral:lncRNA from 1 species
GCAUAUUGCAUCAAUGCAUAUAGUUAUAAUUCAUUAUUCAUGAUGCAUGAUCACGACUACUUGCUACACAUGUGCCUUAAUUGUGUUUUAAUACGUGAUCGAAUACUUUUCUUAAACAGUGAUAAUACAUGAUACAUGUUAUUGAACUUCUACUUUAUGAUUUAACAUUAACUUAAAUGAUUUAUUGUAGUGAGAAGUUAAGUUUCUCGCUAAACGGUGAUAUAUUUGUCUUAGAUGCAUUUCUGCAUUUUAAUUAUGUUUUAAUAUGAUUAAUUACAUAUGUAAUUAUUUGAAGUAACUCAUAUUAGACUAAAACCAAAAGUAUGCAAAAGGGUGCAUUUUGAUUGGUUGGUUGACUAGGUUGCACGAGACCAUUCUGAAAUUGUUUACACUUGAUUAUAAUGAGUAAGCAUCAGCCCAUAUCUUAUCUCAAGCUAUAAAAACGUGGAGGAACCACAAGAAUCCAGCAAAUACAAGCCUUCCAAUCACCAUCCUCCAUUUGGUCUUGUUGGGAAUGGGUAGAUAAGUGAAGACUUUGUGUUUUGGUCUUCAUUUUCACUUGUCUUCUUCCAAAAACGACCAGACCUAUUUCCUUAAUCUUGUCUUCAUAUUUCUUCACUUCCGUACUUACAUAAGAGAGCAUCAAACCAUAAAAAUCAUAGAAGUAGAGCUAGAACAAGUUCUGCCCCUUUUCUAGCUGAAAAUCCUAUGUUUUGAAGUUGAAUUCAUCUCUAAUCAAGGCUUCUAGCACACCUUAUCUAAGACUAAUCCUUUCAUUUCAUAAACCAUUAUUGAUCUUGAGGUAAGUUGAAGCUUUCAUUUUCACAUCGUAAGAACCUAAUUAUGUGCGCUUUAAUGUGACUUUUGCUAUGUAUUCUCUAUGAUGUUUGAAUGAUUGAUGAGUCAUAGUGAUAUGAAAGAAUAUGUUUUGAAAAUGGGAGUAUGGUACUUGAUUGAUGGUCGAGUAGGCAAGGGACGCGGGAGGAACCGGCGGACCCAACACAUGGUGGCAAAUACCUGAGGUCGAAAGACCAGUAUGGAAAACCCACAAUUAAAGAAAUGAAAUACGGCUAAUACCUGAGGUCGAAAGGCCGGUAUGGAAACCCCCGUAUUAUCUAUUGGCCAAAUUUGAUGAACAGGUUCCAAAAAUCAAAGUCUAUUGCUAUCAGUCAAGUACCACACUUCAAGGGUACCCGAUAAAGAGAAGGAUUUCAAAGAAAAGGAUCACGAAUGAAGUUAUAGAUGUGAUAUUGUACUUAUUGAAUGGAUAAUGUGUUAUGUGAUUGAUAUAUUGCUAUUACAUCAGUUUCAACUUGCUGAGCCAUUAGCUCAUUAGGUUCUUAUGAUGCAGGUAAUGAUGUACAUGUUUAGAAGUUGACCUAGCCAAGAGCGGCUAGUCAGAUAUUUGUUCAUAUGCCAUGCUUCGAGCCAUUUUUGUAGCCGAGCAGAAACUCUGAUUUCAUUUUGUUAGCCGCUCUAUUAUGGUUUUUGUACAAUGUAAUUUUGUAAACAAUGAAUAUAUAUAUGUACGGAUUUUGAGAAAGUACUAAGUUUGAUUUCUUUUCAAAGCAUAUAACGUAUUUUUGUAUUAAAACCAUAAUGUUUAAGUAUAUAUAUAAAAAGCUUAGCAUCCCUAACUUAAUGGCGGUGAUCCGAUUGGAUUCUGCUGUUAGGUUGUGCGGUGUUACAUUUUUGGUAUCAGAGCGGAGGUUUAAAAUCUUUUCUGAAGACAGAAGAAGGCAUAUGAACAUACUUUGGCUGGGAAGCUAGGUUAACUCUUUUCUUAUUUACCUAUGUGUUUAAUUUAUAUGUUGCAUAGCAAAUAUCCAGAAUUGUUCGGUACGUCAAAUUUCGAGGGCGAAAUUUUAUAAGGAGGGAAGAAUUGUAAUGCCCAACCAUCCAUACAUGGCCAAUAAUAAGCAUAUUGCAUCAAUGCAUAUAGUUAUAAUUCAUUAUUCAUGAUGCAUGAUCACGACUACUUGCUACACAUGUGCCUUAAUUGUGUUUUAAUACGUGAUCGAAUACUUUUCUUAAACUGUGAUAAUAUAUGAUACAUGUUAUUGAACUUCUACUUUAUGAUUUAACAUUAACUUAAAUGAUUUAUUGUAGUGAGAAGUUAAGUUUCUCGCUAAACGGUGAUAUAUUUGUCUUAGAUGCAUUUCUGCAUUUUAAUUAUGAUUAAUUACAUAUGUAAUUAUUUGAAGUAACUCAUACUAGACUAAAACCAAAAGUAUGCAAAAUGGUGCAUUUUGAUUGGUUGGUUGACUAGGUUGCACGAGACCAUUCUGAAAUUGUUUACACUUGAUUAUAAUGAGUAUGCAUCAGCCCAUUUCUUAUCUCAAGCUAUAAAAACGUGGAGGAACCACAAGAAUCCAGCAAAUACAAGCCUUCCAAUCACCAUCCUCCAUUUGGCCUUGUUGGGAAUGGGUAGAUAAGUGAAGACUUUGUGUUUUGGUCUUCAUUUUCACUUGUCUUCUUCCAAAAAUGACCAGACCUAUUUCCUUAAUUUUGUCUUCAUAUUUCUUCACUUCCAUACUCACAUAAGAGAGCAUCAAACCAUAAAAACUCAUAGAAGUAGAGCUAGAACAAGUUCUGCACCUUUUCUAGCUGAAAAUCCUAUGUUUUGAAGUUGAAUUCAUCUCUAAUCAAGGCUUCUAGCACACCUUAUCUAAAACUGAUCCUUUCAUUUCAUAAACCAUUAUUGAUCUUGAGGUAAGUUGAAGCUUUCAUUUGCACAUCGUAAGAACCUAAUUAUGUGCGCUUUAAUGUGACUUUUGCUAUGUAUUCUCUAUAAUGUUUGAAUGAUUGAUGAGUCAUAGUGAUAUGAAAGAAUAUGUUUUGAAAAUGGGAGUAUGGUACUUGAUUGAUGGUCGAGUAGGCAAGGGACGCAGGAGGAACCGGCGGACCCAACACAUGGUGGCAAAUACCUGAGGUCGAAAGACCAGUAUGGAAAACCCACAAUUAAAGAAAUGAAAUACGGCUAAUACCUGAGGUCGAAAGGCCGGUAUGGAAACCCCCGUAUUAUCUAUUGGCCAAAUUUGAUGAACAGGUUCCGAAAAUCAAAGUCUAUUGCUAUCAGUCAAGUACCACACUUCAAGGGUACCCGAUAAAGAGAAGGAUUUCAAAGAAAAGGAUCACGAAUGAAGUUAUAGAUGUGAUAUUGUACUUAUUGAAUAGAUAAUGUGUUAUGUGAUUGAUAUAUUGCUAUUACAUCAGUUUCAACUUGCUGAGCCAUUAGCUCAUUAGGUUCUUAUGAUGCAGGUAAUGAUGUACAUGUUUAGAAGUUGACCUAGCCAAGAGCGGCCAGUCAGAUAUUUGUUCAUAUGCCAUGCUUCGAGCCAUUUUUGUAGCCGAGCAGAAACUCUGAUUUCAUUUUGUUAGCCGCUCUAUUAUGGUUUUUGUACAAUGUAAUUUUGUAAACAAUGAAUAUAUAUAUGUACGGAUUUUGAGAAAGUACAAAGUUUGAUUUCUUUUCAAAGCAUAUAACGUAUUUUUGUAUUAAAACCAUAAUGUUUAAGUAUAUAUAUAAAAAGCUUAGCAUCCCUAACUUAAUGGCGGUGAUCCGAUUGGAUUCUGCUGUUAGGUUGUGCGGUGUUACAUUUUUGGUAUCAGAGCGGAGGUUUAAAAUCUUUUCUGAAGACAGAAGAAGGCAUAUGAACAUACUUUGGCUGGGAAGCUUGGUUAACUCUUUUCUUAUUUACCUAUGUGUUUAAUUUAUAUGUUGCAUAGCAAAUAUCCAGAAUUGUUCGGUACGUCAAAUUUCGAGGGCGAAAUUUUAUAAGGAGGGAAGAAUUGUAAUGCCCAACCAUCCAUACAUGGCCAAUAAUAAGCAUAUUGCAUCAAUGCAUAUAGUUAUAAUUCAUUAUUCAUGAUGCAUGAUCACGACUACUUGCUACACAUGUGCCUUAAUUGUGUUUUACUACGUGAUCGAAUACUUUUCUUAAACUGUGAUAAUACAUGAUACAUGUUAUUGAACUUCUACUUUAUGAUUUAACAUUAACUUAAAUGAUUUAUUGUAGUGAGAAGUUAAGUUUCUCGCUAAACGGUGAUAUAUUUGUCUUAGAUGCAUUUCCGCAUUUUAAUUAUGUUUUAAUAUGAUUAAUUACAUAUGUAAUUAUUUGAAGUAACUCAUAUUAGACUAAAACCAAAAGUAUGCAAAAUGGUGCAUUUUGAUUGGUUGGUUGACUAGGUUGCACGAGACCAUUCUGAAAUUGUUUACACUUGAUUAUAAUGAGUAUGCAUCAGCCCAUAUCUUAUCUCAAGCUAUAAAAACGUGGAGGAACCACAAGAAUCCAGCAAAUAAAAGCCUUCCAAUCACCAUCCUCCAUUUGGCCUUGUUGGGAAUGGGUAGAUAAGUGAAGACUUUGUGUUUUGGUCUUCAUUUUCACUUGUCUUCUUCCAAAAACGACCAGACCGAUUUCCUUAAUCUUGUCUUCAUAUUUCUUCACUUCCAUACUCACAUAAGAGAGCAUCAAACCAUAAAAACUCAUAGAAGUAGAGCUAGAACAAGUUCUGCACCUUUUCUAGCUGAAAAUCCUAUGUUUUGAAGUUGAAUUCAUCUCUAAUCAAGGCUUCUAGCACACCUUAUCUAAAACUGAUCCUUUCAUUUCAUAAACCAUUAUUGAUCUUGAGGUAAGUUGAAGCUUUCAUUUGUACAUCGUAAGAACCUAAUUAUGUGCGCUUUAAUGUGACUUUUGCUAUGUAUUCUCUAUGAUGUUUGAAUGAUUGAUGAGUCAUAGUGAUAUGAAAGAAUAUGUUUUGAAAAUGGGAGUAUGGUAUUUGAUUGAUGGUCGAGUAGGCAAGGGACGCGGGAGGAACCGGCGGACCCAACACAUGGUGGCAAAUACCUGAGGUCGAAAGACCAGUAUGGAAAACCCACAAUUAAAGAAAUGAAAUACGGCUAAUACCUUAGGUCGAAAGGCCGGUAUGGAAACCCACGUAUUAUCUAUUGGCCAAAUUUGAUGAACAGGUUCCGAAAAUCAAAGUCUAUUGCUAUCAGUCAAGUACCACACUUCAAGGGUACCCGAUAAAGAGAAGGAUUUCAAAGAAAAGGAUCACGAAUGAAGUUAUAGAUGUGAUAUUGUACUUAUUGAAUGGAUAAUGUGUUAUGUGAUUGAUAUAUUGCUAUUACAUCAGUUUGAACUUGCUGAGCCAUUAGCUCAUUAGGUUCUUAUGAUGCAGGUAAUGAUGUACAUGUUUAGAAGUUGACCUAGCCAAGAGCAGCCAGUCAGAUAUUUGUUCAUAUGCCAUGCUUCGAGCCAUUUUUGUAGCCGAGCAGAAACUCUGAUUUCAUUUUGUUAGCCGCUCUAUUAUGGUUUUUGUACAAUGUAAUUUUGUAAACAAUGAAUAUAUAUAUGUACAUAUUUUGAGAAAGUACAAAGUUUGAUUUCUUUUCAAAGCAUAUAACGUAUUUUUAUAUUAAAACCAUAAUGUUUAAGUAUAUAUAUAUAUAAAAAGCUUAGCAUCCCUAACUUAAUGGCGGUGAUCCGAUUGGAUUCUGCUGUUAGGUUGUGCGGUGUUACAUUUUUGGUAUCAGAGCGGAGGUUUAAAAUCUUUUCUGAAGACAGAAGAAGGCAUAUGAACAUACUUUGGCUGGGAAGCUUGGUUAACUCUUUUCUUAUUUACCUAUGUGUUUAAUUUAUAUGUUGCAUAGCAAAUAUCCAGAAUUGUUCGGUACGUCAAAUUUCGAGGGCGAAAUUUUAUAAGGAGGGAAGAAUUGUAAUGCCCAACCAUCCAUACAUGGCCAACAAUAAGCAUAUUGCAUCAAUGCAUAUAGUUAUAAUUCAUUAUUCAUGAUGCAUGAUCACGACUACUUGCUACACAUGUGCCUUAAUUGUGUUUUAAUACGUGAUCGAAUACUUUUCUUAAACUGUGAUAAUACAUGAUACAUGUUAUUGAACUUCUACAUUAUGAUUUAACAUUAACUUAAAUGAUUUAUUGUAGUGAGAAGUUAAGUUUCUCGGUAAACGGUGAUAUAUUUGUCUUACAUGCAUUUCUGCAUUUUAAUUAUGUUUUAAUAUGAUUAAUUACAUAUGUAAUUAUUUGAAGUAACUCAUAUUAGACUAAAACCAAAAGUAUGCAAAAGGGUGCAUUUUGAUUGGUUGGUUGACUAGGGUUGUUUACACUUGAUUAUAAUGAGUAAGCAUCAGCCCAUAUCUUAUCUCAAGCUAUAAAAACGUGGAGGAACCACAAGAAUCCAGCAAAUACAAGCCUUCCAAUCACCAUCCUCCAUUUGGCCUUGUUGGGAAUGGGUAGAUAAGUGAAGACUUUGUGUUUUGGUCUUCAUUUUCACUUGUCUUCUUCCAAAAAUGACCAGACCUAUUUCCUUAAUUUUGUCUUCAUAUUUCUUCACUUCCAUACUCACAUAAGAGAGCAUCAAACCAUAAAAACUCAUAGAAGUAGAGCUAGAACAAGUUCUGCAACUUUUCUAGCUGAAAAUCCUAUGUUUUGAAGUUGAAUUCAUCUCUAAUCAAGGCUUCUAGCACACCUUAUCUAAGACUGAUCCUUUCAUUUCAUAAACCAUUAUUUAUCUUGAGGUAAGUUGAAGCUUUCAUUUG